rnacentral:lncRNA from 1 species
AAAUCCGGGAUUCCGGCGAGGGGCGGCGGCGCCGGCGCCGGCGAGACGGCGAACGCUCCUCCGGUGCGGGAGGAGAUGAGGGAGGGAGAGAGGGACGGCGUUCGUGGUGGGGAUUCACCGGCUGCGACGGGCGCUCGGUAAAAUACAGGCUGCAGAAACCCUUGCAUUUGGUUGGAUUGUGAAUCUGUGAUGCAAAACCUAGGCUGUUUUUCUUCUGAAACCUGAACUAUGUUGAUUGGGAAUGUCUUUGAAGAGUGUUGUCAGAUCAGCACCUAGAUAUAAUUCUUCUGUACUCAUCAGUUAUAGGUGAUUUGCUCUGAUGCCUCAUUUGUUUAAGUUGAUUUGCACUUAUGCAGUCCACAGGGGUUGAAAUGGUUCUGAUUUUUUCGCCGGGUCGGCUUUGCCGACCAAACAAUAGUAUUAAGAAGGAGAAAAUUCAGAACUGUACAGAGCAAAAACAAAAGAGAGCAAACACACACACCCUGAAAAAAAAAUCAGAGGUGACACAGCUCCUACUAACAGAGCCGAAGCUCACACACACCCCUGUGCUGCUAACUAGCUGAUCCCUCUGGAUAUGGGGCUUCUUGCUUCAAUUUCGCACAGCAGACCGGCCGCUUUCCAAGCUUCCCAUUCUUCCACAAUUGUGGCACAAAGAUGUUCCGCUGAGGUUGCUCUUCCAUCAAACACUCUAGCAUUGCGUUCCUUCCAUAUGAGCCAUGUCACAAGGAUCACCCCGGCGUCAAAUGUCUUUCUGUCUUGCUUGCGCACUGAUUUUCGGACUGAACACCACCAAGAGGAAAGAUCUUCUGAUGGCACCGAGCAGGAAAGGCUAAGCCGAUCUCGAAUCCUUGUCCAAACCUGCUUUGUGAAGGGACAAUCAUGGAAGAUGUGGGAGCAGGACUCGCCGUCGUUUGCACAAAGGUGACAGAUCGAGGCCGAAAUGGUUCUGAUUUUGCUUCAGUAGAAUUCUGGUUACUAACCGUAAAGUUUUCUAUGCUCCCUAAAUUUACACACAAGUUUAUUUGAUUCACUGCUUAGGAAGUUUCAAUAUAUUAGAUAGGUAAAAUAUUACACAAGUUUAUUUGAUUCACUGCUUAGGAAGUUUCAAUAUAUUAGAUAGGUAAAAUAUCACAAGGUACUAUUAAGGCCCAUAAUUUUAUUCUCAUAGGGUUAACUAUUACUACAUGAGAGCUCACCUAUCAUUUAGUAACCAGCUAAUGCCUCUAGAAUGGUGUAUAGGGUAUUUAAAUCUUCAAUAUGAGCUCCCUGUGGCUGUGAUAGCUUGAAGUAAUCUUGGCAUUGGUGGCAUUUCAAGUUCUAACAAACCUUCAAGAAUUUGAACCACUUCGCCCAUGGUCGGCCGAUUAGACUCAUUUUCUUGGACACACCAGCAGGCCACCUUGCUUAUUCGUUCAGCCUCAUCCAGGUUAACAUCAUCAAGCAGUUUGUUAUCUAGCAAGCUCCUGACAUCUCCCUCGAGAAGUUCAUUUGCAACUUGCACAGGGAAAUAUGCAGCAUGAUCAUCAUCACUUGUGUCUUGUUUGCAUGAGUUCCUCCUACCUGACAUUAUUUCAAACAACACCAUUCCAUAGCUAUAGACAUCAACCUUGGAUGUAAUGGCCACUCCACUAAUUCAUUCUGGUGCAAGAUACCCUAUGGUUCCUCUAAAUGUAGUAAGAACUCUACUGAAAUCUCUUCCAACAAAUUUUGCCAUUCCAAAAUCUGCAAUUUUAGGCACAAAUGAUCCAUCAAGAAGUAUGUUCUCUGGCUUAAUAUCACAGUGUAUGAUGCAAUCCCUGCAACUCUCAUGCAGGUAUGCCAACCCUCUAGCAGCUCCAAGGGCUAUCUGGUAACGGGUACUCCAGUUUAGGAUCGUAGUAUGGUUCUGAAAAAGGUGCGUGUCAAGAGAGCAAUUUGGCAUGUGUUCAUAUACAAGCAGCCUCCUACCACUAUCAGAACAGAAUCCAAUAAGCUUAACCAAAUUGAUGUGUUGGAUUAUUCCAAUGGAACUCACCUCAGCCCUGAAUUGCUUCUCACCUUGACGGUCACCACCAAGCUUUUUUACUGCAAUAGGUGUCGAGCCACCUAGAAACCCUUUGAAUACAGCACCAAAGCCGCCUUCUCCUAAUUUCUCAGAGAAAUUUUUAGUUGCAUGUUGCAGAACACUGUAUUUGAAAGACACAAUUCCAUUUCCCCCUUGAACAUUAUUAGUAGGAGCAGUAAAUUGCUUCCUUUUGUACCUCCAGAUUACAGUAGCUGAAAACAAACCCAAAGCAACAACACUGGAAGCAACCGCAGCACCAAUAAUCUUUCCUUUUCCAUUUUUAUUAUGGCUCCAACUUGCGUCUUUGGCGGCAAUACGUAGGUAGAGAAUUUCUCCAUCACUAGUAGUACCUUUAUUAUACUCUUACAUUAAGCAAAUCAUCAUACCAUACAGAGCACCUGUUACCAUAGGAAUAUGCAGUGCAAGAACAAUUAUUCUGGCAAGCUAGUGCACAUUGGUCAGCUGUCCUAGCAGCUUCUAUGAUGUUGGCUUCUGUGGGCAAUCCAAUACCGGGCAAGGAGUAAAACUUGUCAGUUGUAGCAGUUCUGCUUUGGUUCUUGGUGCCGCAAUCUAAUGGUGUAUUUCUUAUGCAUCCACCAGCUCUAUCCUCUAACUCCCAAUCCUUAGGUGAUCUUACUGAGAAUCCCUUAAUGCAAUCGCACACUUGGAGUGCAUUGCUGUUGCAGACAGUGAAAGGUCCACAUGUAGCAUAGAUAUCACAUAGAUCUUUAGGCAGAGUAUAGAUCGUUGCCCAUUCCUGCUUGUUCUCAAGCCAGAGGAGCUGUUUCAUCUGACCAGAUAUGUCCAAAAAGCAAACAGUUAUUAGAUCUUUUUCUAACAAGUUGAACACAAAGUACUUCUCUUGGUUGUUGUUGAUGAACUUGAAGUCAAAUAGAGUUCGUCCUGACAUCUCUGGUAUUGAGUUGAAGAAUUGGCCAUUCCAUUCCCCAGUAGACCAAUAGACUAUGGAAGAGUUGCAAAACUCUAAGACGUAUUGGUUAGCACCAGUAGGGUCUAAUUCCAGGCAAUAGAGGCCAGCAGCUGGAUCAGCCAAACUCUUCUUGGAAACAAUAACACGGUUCAGACCAGUCACCUUAUCUAGGCCAAACUUUGCACCAAUAAGCAUGACAUCAGUAGGGUAGUCAAAGCUCUGCCAUAGUACGUUGGACGAGUUGGAUGCAUCUCUUAAGAUGAGGUUUCCAUUAUCCUGGAGGACAACCAUGGUUUUCUUGGCUGUGAUACUGGCAUGAGUCGACCAAACCGUCGAUCUGGUGGCUUGGUUGAAGAUGGCAAGGUUGCCAUCACUGGCAAUUGUGAGUUUUGUCACUCUGUGAUGGCCUACAAUUGGGUUCUCUCUGUUUGCUAUCCAUAUUGGAGUUAACACUGGUAUCUUGUCGAACCAUAUGCCUAGGUACCAGUGCUUGAGGGUGUGCCGGGGGAAGAACUUACUGUCGGUGUCCGGAUGGAAGAAGCCGAGCGCGAACCUGCCAUUGCGAGAGACAAGCUUCUCAUCUUUCGGGAGUGCUUCACCGGCUGAAAUCGUGUCCGUUGCAGCAGAACACGCCGGAGAAUGUAUGGAGAAGAGCAGAGGCACAAGAAUGAUGAAGGUACGAAGCAUGGUGAAUGAAGAGGAUAAGAACGAGGAAUGCGAUUUCGGUGUUUGGGGGUGCUGGUGCCAUGAUAUAUGCCUCUUAACAUGGUUGAAGAAUAUACAUGCUGCAUCAUUGCAUCUUGACGUGCUUUCUUUGAGACAUUUUUGCAGCCUUGCACUCACGUCAACUUCAAAACCUACUUUGCUGCCAAUUUUGGUGAUCAGCCACUACUGGUCUACUGCAGUCAAGCUUGGUAUAUUGGAUUGCACUGUGUUCAAGACUGUAACAGAACUCAUUUUGCUGACAUUGUAGAUGUUCUGACUAAAAUUACUUAAUUUUUGAACAUCAGUCGGCAGCAUGGAAUAUACAAUAUGUUUGGUAAAUUAAAAAAAAAAGGAAGGUAAAUAUGGCUAUACGCCUAUGUCUAGCACAAGGCAUCCACUUUUUUUUAAUGACACUUUGAAGGUCGUGUGAUUUUUCUAUCAAAUGCAUGCUAGCAAAGAUAUAAAAUUACCUUCCUAUCAACUCAUCAGUAGGGUUGGCAAUAGGCGGUGGGUGGCGUUGGCAACGGAGGAAAACAACGAAACUGAUUAGGAGGCGGCGGCCGGUGGUGGCGGAUCUAGCUACGGCGAGCCACCGGAGGUGAGAAAGACGGAGGGACGGGGGACUCGGUGCCACCCUCUCGCCGGCCUCGUUGACCCCUUCUAGCCAGGCGGCGGCGCGAUAGGGUGAUGACGGAGCAGGAGGUGGAGGCUCCGCGUGCGCGUGCGCAUGAAAGCAGCGGUGGCAUGCGGACCGAGGAAAAUAAAGAGAGAAAAAGAAGGGGGCUUAGUUAUGUUGCAUGAAUCUCAACGCGAUCCAAUGCUCUAGAAUUUGUAAUAUUUUAGGGGGUUUCAGUCAAAAACCAUAUAGACAAUCUCGGAAAAUAAAUAUAUUCUUCAACAUCAUCUCAUACAUUGCUACAUUUUGAAUAAAUAAAGUAAAAUCUAUGUUCAAAUCCGCAAAAUUGAAACGUCGCACUAAAAUAUAAAAUCAGGCUGGUCAAAUGCUUAUGAAGAAUUCAAAUACUUUGAAAUAUAAAACAUAUCUUAGUUUUACUCCCGUAUAAGAGUCUGUUAUUUAAGAUAGUUUGAAAGAUUGAGCACCUUAAAUGGUUUUCUACUGAAUACAUUGCCCAGCUUUCUUCGCUUUGAGUAGAAGAGAAAGAGUAGAACAGAACUGUUCAGAAAGAAUUAGCAAAACGAAGCAUAUCAGAGCUUUUAUUUUCUUUUCAAGAACAAAUAUGGUUUUUCUAUUCCUUUUAUUGCCCAUUUGCUUUCAUCAAAAUAUAGGGUGGACGUAUAUUAUUUUGUCUAUUGCAGCUAUAUACAUUUGAAAGGAAAAAAAAUUAAAGACGAGAUUUUGUCAAUGCAGCAGGUUUGAAGCUGGCGAUUCCGGUGAUCUCUCUUCCGGUCACCAAGCUGUUGAUGUCAUAGGUGCCUUCGUACGAGAAGAUUGGCUCCAGAUCAC